rnacentral:rRNA from 1 species
AUGAACGCUAGCUACAGGCUUAACACAUGCAAGUCGAGGGGCAGCGCAGUGUAGCAAUACAUGGGCGGCGACCGGCGCACGGGUGCGUAACGCGUAUCCAACCUUCCCGUUACUCAGGGAUAGCCUUCCGAAAGGGAGAUUAAUACCUGAUGGUGUUCAAAUUCCGCAUGUUAUUUGAACUAAAGAUUUAUCGGUAACGGAUGGGGAUGCGUGACAUUAGGUAGAUGGCGGGGUAACGGCCCACCAUGCCUACGAUGUCUAGGGGUUCUGAGAGGAAGGUCCCCCACACUGGAACUGAGACACGGUCCAGACUCCUACGGGAGGCAGCAGUGAGGAAUAUUGGUCAAUGGUCUGACGACUGAACCAGCCAUGCCGCGUGAAGGUGACGGCCCUAUGGGUCUUAAACUUCUUUUGCAAGGGAGCAAUAAGGUCUACGUGUAGAUCGAUGAGAGUACCUUGCGAAUAAGCAUCGGCUAACUCCGUG